UUAAUUGAAGAGUUUGAUCAUGGCUCAGAUUGAACGCUGGCGGCAGGCCUAACACAUGCAAGUCGAGCGGAAACGGCAGUAUUGAAGCUUCGGUGGAUUUACUGGACGUCGAGCGGCGGACGGGUGAGUAACGGCUGGGAACCUGCCCUGACGAGGGGGAUAACCGUUGGAAACGACGGCUAAUACCGCAU
rnacentral:rRNA from 1 species